rnacentral:rRNA from 1 species
AUUGAACGCUGGCGGCAGGCUUAACACAUGCAAGUCGAGCGAGCGGCGGACUGGUGAGUAAUGUCUGGGAAACUGCCUGAUGGAGGGGGAUAAAUACUGGAAACGGUAGCUAAUACCGCAUACCAUCAGAUGUGCCCAGAUGGGAUUAGCUAGUAGGUGGGGUAAUGGCUCACCUAGGCGACGAUCCCUAGCUGGGCUGGGAGGAUUACCAUGCACACUGGGACUGGGAGACGGUACCUACUCCGAAGGGAGGGCGCAGUGGGGAACAUUGCACAAUGGGCGCAAGCCUGAUGCAGCCAUGGCGCGUGUGUGAAGAAGGUCCUCGGGGUGUAAAGCACUUUCAGCGAGGAGGCGUUACUCGCAGAAGAAGCACCGGCUAACUCCGUGCCAGCAGCCGCGGUAAUAC